rnacentral:lncRNA from 1 species
UCUGAGACUUACAAUGACUGAGUGGAGGUGGCUGGGGUUCUAGACUGCGCACAAGGGAAAGGGGAGCGUCAGUAUUUCCUGGCCUCCAGACGUGAGGAGUGGCAGCUGUGUGUGCGUGCUGCCAGGACCUCUGUUACAGCUUCCUGGCCCUGAUGGACCUUCCUUCUGAACCUGAGAGUCGUUGAGAGGGCAUUCAUUCAUCGUGUUCCAGGUGUGUAAGAGGAGUGUGUGCUCGAGCCCCACUCUCCCUAAAGGACGGAAGCUCCGCACAGUCAGCAAAUAUGAAGAAGACAAUACAACAUAAUUCUAAGGCUGCUCCUUGAACAUUUGAAAGAACAACGCAAGCAUAAAUUAUUUAGUGAGGUCUUCGUGUAUGAUAAUUAAACGAGAAAAGAAACACGUGUGUCAGGGGACAGCAGUGAUAAUCUGAAAGAAAAAUUUGGUGAAUAAAACUAACUGUGACAACU